rnacentral:lncRNA from 1 species
UUUAAAUUACAUUUGGUUAAUUUUAUGAAAUAUUACCGUUUAAACAUUUUUAUAUUUAACACUUCCCCUCACAUCUGGCUAGCUUAAGCUUUUAAAGUACAACGGUUGUUUCACAUGGUAUCAGAGCAGGAGGUCUUGAGUUCGAGUCACGCCAGGCUCCUAGCAUAUUAAUUUCCUCCCAUUUAAUUCAAGCUCACGUCAUGGACCGAUUAAAAAGUCUCGAGGCUAGACGUGAGGAGAAGUGUUAAAUAUAAAAAUGUUUAAACACCGUUUUCUAACAGCUUAACCUUUUAGAGUACAACGGUUGUUUCAUAUGCUUUUAGAGAACGGUGUUUAAACAUUUUUAUAUUUAACAAUUAGAAGAUAAUAGAAAGAAGAAGCAGGUCAAUUUGAUAUAAAAUAUGAUUUAAUAAAAUUAUUUAUUAUAAAAUUAAUUUAGUAAAAAAAUAUAUUUUAAUAUUUAAUAGGAAAUGAUUUAUUAUAAAAGUAAUUUAUUUUUUUUCAAAUUCUACUUCAACUAAAAUUGAAUAAAAACAAUUUAUUAGCAUAUUUAAGUAUAAUUUAUUAUAAUNAAUUUGAUAUAAAAUAUGAUUUAAUAAAAGUAAUUUAUUAUUAAAAUAAUCUAGUAGAAAUAAUUUAUUAUAAUAUUUAAUGAAAAUAAUUUAUUAUAAAAAUAUGAUUUAGAAAAAAAAAUAAUUUAUUAUAAAAGUAAUUUAUUUUUUUUCAAAUUCUACUUCAACUAAAAUUGAAUAAAAACAAUUUAUUAGCAUAUUUAAGUAUAAUUUAUUAUAAUAUUUAAGCAUAAAUAAUAUAUAUUAAUAUUGUACAAUUAAUAAUUUUAUAAUAAAAAUAAUUUAUUAUAACAUAUAACUUAUCCUAUCUGCAUAAUUUACUCUAAUUCAAUUUAUAAUAUUAAUAAAAUUUGAAAUUAAACCUUU